rnacentral:rRNA from 1 species
UGGGGAAUAUUGCACAAUGGGGGGAACCCUGAUGCAGCGAUGCCGCGUGAAGGAAGAAGGUUUUCGGAUUGUAAACUUCUAUCAGCAAGGAAGAAAAAGGACAGUACUUGACUAAGCAGCCCCGGCUAACUACGUGCCAGCAGCCGCGGUAAUACGUAGGGGGCAAGCGUUAUCCGGAAUUACUGGGUGUAAAGGGUGCGUAGGCGGCAAUGCAAGUCAGUCGUGAAAGGUAUGGGCUUAACCCGUAAACUGCGAUUGAAACUGCAUAGCUAGAGUGCAGGAGAGGAAAGCGGAAUUCCUAGUGUAGCGGUGAAAUGCGUAGAUAUUAGGAAGAACACCAGUGGCGAAGGCGGCUUUCUGGACUGCAACUGACGCUGAGGCACGAAAGCGUGGGGAGCAA